GAUGAACGCUGACAGAAUGCUUAACACAUGCAAGUCUUUGGCGAAGCUGUGCUUGCACAGCCUAGCCAAGGCGGACGGGUGAGUAACGCGUAAGGAACUUGCCCUGCAGUCAGGGAUAACAGACGGAAACGACUGAUAAGACCUGGUAAAGUCAGGCGGACUCAUGUCCAGCCUGAUGAAAAGAGAUGCUGCAGGAGAGCCUUGCGUCCUAUUAGCUUGUUGGUGGGGUAACGGCCCACCAAGGCGAUGAUAGGUAGCCGGCCUGAGAGGGUGGACGGCCACAAGGGGACUGAGAUACGGCCCUUACUCCUACGGGAGGCAGCAGUGGGGAAUAGUGGACAAUGGGGGCAACCCUGAUCCAGCAAUUCUGUGUGCACGAUGAAGGUUUUCGGAUUGUAAAGUGCUUUCAGCAGGGAAGAAAAAAAUGACGGUACCUGCAGAAGAAGCGACGGCUAAAUACGUG
rnacentral:rRNA from 1 species